rnacentral:hammerhead_ribozyme from 1 species
AUCUGGAUGACAAGUUCAAAAUAGAACGAAACGCGCGUCCUGGAU